UCCUACGGGAGGCAGCAGUGAGGAAUAUUGGUCAAUGGACGCAAGUCUGAACCAGCCAUGCCGCGUGAAGGAUGAAGGCCUUCUGGGUUGUAAACUUCUUUUAUUGGGGAAGAAAACUACGGUUUCUACUGUAGCCGACGGUACCCAAGGAAUAAGCACCGGCUAACUCCGUGCCAGCAGCCGCGGUAAUACGGAGGGUGCAAGCGUUAUCCGGAUUCACUGGGUUUAAAGGGUGUGUAGGCGGAUAUUUAAGUCAGAGGUGAAAUCUCCAGGCUCAACCUGGAAACUGCCUUUGAUACUAUUUAUCUUGAAUUUUGUUGAGGUAGGCGGAAUAUAUCAUGUAGCGGUGAAAUGCAUAGAUAUGAUAUAGAACACCGAUUGCGAAGGCAGCUUACUAAGCAAACAUUGACGCUGAGGCACGAAAGCGUGGGGAUCAAACAGGAUUAGAUACCCGAGUAG
rnacentral:rRNA from 1 species